GAAGGCCCCACUGUCUUAAGGAAAUUCCCAGUGAAAUUGAAUUNGUAGUGAAGAUGCUACGUCCAAUUUGUUAGACGAAAAGACCCCGUUGAGCUUUACUGGGGCACUUACACGGCCCCGGCCUCUAAGAGGCCGAAUUUAAAUGGGCGGCUUAGACUAUGUGGCAGCCCCCCCGUCGGGGCAGAUGAAACACCACUCCCCCAUGUCAAAGGGGCUAACCCCCCCCCUUGGGGGGGGGACAAUGUAAGUAGGACAGUUUGGUUGGGGCGACCGCCUUUUAGAGAGUAACGAAGGUGCGCUUAAGGUGUGUAAUUAAUGACUGAAGCCUGACUGCGAGGGGGACACCCCGAGCAGACACCCCCAAGCCCGCCCGCCCUAGCUGCCUUUUGGACCAGCUAGGCCGGGCGGCGGUGGGGGUGGGCCAUAGUGACCCGUUAAUUUAGAGUGGAAAAGUUAACGAUCAACGAAUAAAAGUUACCACGGGGA
rnacentral:rRNA from 1 species